rnacentral:lncRNA from 10 species
AACAGCAGUACUCUGCCUCCUUUCUCCCAUUUCCUGCUUCCCAGAGACAACCCACUUUCAUUUCUUUUAGAAGUCCCAUUGGUCAAGGAUUGGCUGCUUUUGAUUUCUGUUGAUUCUCCAAGGCCUAGAACAGGAUGGACAUUCAACUAUUUGUUGAGUGAAUGAAUAAAUGACAAAAAUGUGACAGGGAGAACUGUCAAAAAUUGGAAGAGAUGGGGAAAUUCUUUGGGGGAAUAACUUGAAUGGGAUGAG